UCUGAAAUACUCAUGCUGCUACUGACAGAAAGAUUUCAAAGAGAAAUUGGAUUGAGAAGAUAAAAGCAUCUUGGACAGGAUGUGUUUGAGCUGACUUUAAGACAACUGGAUACAGAAGACCUUUUGCUUGGUCUGGGGAAAAUAUAAAUGCUAAGAGAAAAUGAAUUCUCUCAAAAAAGAAAAGCAACUGCAGUUUAAAUCUGGCUUUUGUAAGAGAUAGGGCUUCUCCAAGUCUAUCUUCUCAGCAAUUUUAUUUUAACUUUCUUGUUGUGCUACGAGGGGGUUUGUCCUCUUUUUAUAGAUUCCUAAGCUUUUACUCAUUCAGCACUUAAUUGUGGGUCUGAGAACUUGGCAGCUUGGCGCUUGAGUCUCAAACUUCCUUCAGCUUUUACCCGGAAACAUGAAAGGCUUAACUAGGAAGAUUCUUAAUCUGAAGUCCAUGAAAGCGGUUUCCUAAAACUCUCAAAAUUGUGAGAUUUUGUACACGUUUCUGGGAAAAGAAUCUGUGGCUUUCAUCAGAUUCUCCAAGAGUCUAGAACCUUCCACAUGGACUAAUGUAUUUCUAAGGAUCUUUCUGGCCCUGAGACUCUGGGAUUCAAUUGCCUAUCCAGGAUGCCUAUCCAAUCACCUUCCAAGAUGGCAUGGUUAUCCCAAGCAUAGGUGUGAGUCUGGCUCAGAUUUACCUGAAAUUUACCGCAGAUUCUAAGUUUCCGCUAUGAAUUUACAUUUUGUGAGAUACUAGUUGAACUCAGUUAAAGAGAGAUUUAAGUAAGAGUUGAAGAUGUCCUGCUCUCUGUUCUUUCUUGGUAUCUAAUUUCUUUUAGGUGUAGCAGUACAAAGUCAACAAUGUUGAGGUGUCUGCCUUUUCUGCUUUUAAAAGCUUGAUUGAUUCUCCUAUAAGAGGUCCCCACCCCCUUCCCUCCAAGGACAAGCUAAUGCACAGAAUAAUUUGUGAAAAAUCUACCUGGAUUUCAGUCUAAGAAAUUAUUGCUCUUCACAGUCUCUCCCUCUGAUUUUUAGAAAACUGAUGGAUAAUCAUUUGCUUGAGCGUGACACUCAGCUAUUUGAGAAUAACAUUGAGAUGGUUAAAUUUAAAUUAAACAUGAUAUGAGACGCCCUCUAGUCCUCCUUCCCCAGUUCUUCUGCUUCACCCAUGAAGGCUUCUUUGUGAAGCUCUGGAAACUUCUGGUAAGCAGGUUUUAUCCCCGCAGAUCUUUGAGCUCCAGUAAUUAGUCUUAGAUUCCCUAGGUAACUUGCAUGGUAAUUACUGCAUUAGCUUUCUUGAAUAGUUUUCUAACUUAAAAGAACUGUAUUCAUUUCUGUAGCCAAUUACAGAAAACUAAUAGGUACACAGUAACAGUCCUUAAUUUCUAUUUUACUUUCUUCCCGCCCCCAACCCCGAAAUACACACACUAUUAUUUUGUUUCUUAGUUUCUUUUGGAGCCACUAAUACCAUUUGAUUUUUAUAGACAUCGUCAGGUUUCAAAGAGAUGAGCUGGAAUCCAAGAUGACUGAAUAUUAUCAAUCACAUAUUUACUGAAAACUUAGUGGCAGGAAACAGUGCUAUUAUGUCAACCCACACAUUUAUGACUCAUGCAAAUGAGAUACCUUUCAAAUGACUUGUAAAACAGGUAUUUCGUGCCUGAUUACUUUGUUACAGAUAACUAUUACACUGUGGCAAUUUUAUUAAAU
rnacentral:lncRNA from 1 species